AGAGCGAACGCUGGCGGCAGGCCUAACACAUGCAAGUCGAGCGCCCGUAGCAAUACGGGAGCGGCAGACGGGAGAGUAACACGUGGGAACGUACCCUUCAGUUCGGAAUAACCCAGGGAAACUUGGACUAAUACCGAAUACGUCCGUAAGGAGAAAGAUUUAUCGCUGAAGGAUCGGCCCGCGUCUGAUUAGCUUGUUGGUGAGGUAACGGCUCACCAAGGCGACGAUCAGUAGCUGGUCUGAGAGGAUGAUCAGCCUCACUGGGACUGAGACACGGCCCAGACUCCUACGGGAGGCAGCAGUGGGGAAUAUUGGACAAUGGGCGCAAGCCUGAUCCAGCCAUGCCGCGUGGAUGAUGAAGGCCCUAGGGUUGUAAAGUCCUUUCGACGGGGAAGAUAAUGACGGUACCCGUAGAAGAAGCCCGGCUAACUUCGUGCCAGCAGCCGC
rnacentral:rRNA from 1 species